rnacentral:lncRNA from 1 species
GGAAAAGAACUUGUUAAAGACACUGCAGGGAGAAGUGAAGAUUGGCAGGGUGGAACCUCUAAGCGUAAGGAUGGUGAGGCAUCGGGCGGAAGCUGAAAAGCAGGGCCGGAAGUGUUAGCAAAGCAGGACCGGAAGUGGUGACAAGGAGCAAUUUAGCGGCCGAAGUCUUUUUUGCGGGAGUGAAAGAGCCAGUUUUGGAUCCCUAGACCUGUCCCUUGCAGAGGGGUGGGGAUUUGGAAUCCGCAGCUGAGAGGAGUGAGGGAACAUCUUUAUUCAGCAGGUUUCCCAGACAACGUUGGAGGCUCCGAACAUCCUUCAACACCUCCGUGAGGGCUGCUUUUGUCAAGGAGCAGUCUCUCUCUGCCAACGGCGCUGCAACCAUGGGAGGAAUUCCAAUAAUUGACACCAUCGACGAAGACACCGAAAUCCUAACACGAAAGUCGAGCAUGAGUUCAUUCUGCAGUGUGGCUGCCAGUGAAAACAACAACAGCAGCAAUGAUGAUUGUUCAUUGUUGUGAACAGAUGUGUUUCUGUUCAGCCAGGAAUGACAACAUUUGGCUGCUCAGGACAACAAAUGUACCAGAAAUAAACAGGCCCCGGGAGCAUCCAACAGAAGCAAACCAUGAGUGACGUUGAGCAAAUCCAAUUUGGAUCUCCUUAUAGUCCUGGCUUUGGGAAGCCUUAAUUCUUUCCACAUUUCAGUCAUUGAACUCUUUUGGAAUAAAUUGUGUUCCAGAUCGGUGGCAGUGAAAGACUGAGAUACACUUAAGUCACUCACAGGACAUUAAAAGAAAAGCGGGGAGGUAAAAUAAAACAAUGUAGUUGGGCUUGGUUGCCCACGCCUGUAGUCCCAGCAUUUGGGAGGCUGAGGUGGGAGGAUCAGUGUGAGCUCAAGGCCUGCCUGGGCUCUGUAGAAUACGAGGCCAGCCUGCAGUAUAAAGUGAGACCCUGUAUCAGAAAACCCCAAACAAAACAAACAACCCCCCCAAAAAAGCAAAACAAAAGAAAAAAACCCAC